rnacentral:lncRNA from 1 species
CGGGGGCCUGUGACCCGGAGGCGCUGGGGCUGUCCUGGGUCGUCACAUGCGAGAAAUCGUCUCACCCCAGCCAGUGUGACGGAGUGAGAGCAAAAGAAAGUUUUGAUAGCAGCGUACGAUUUAUAUUCAGCUGUAUGCUGGGCAGGUCCAACUUGGCAUUUCUUGGCUGUAUCUCUGAAGGAAAGUCAUCUUAAUCUCUAUGAGCCUCCAUUUCCUCAGCUGUAAAAUGGGAAGAUCUUCCUCACACUGCUGUGGGCCUCUCCACAUGCCUCUCGCCCAACACCAUGAUGGGGGGACACCCAUGGAACCUGCUUGGCAUUAACACAUGAGCCGCCCAGAAGUGAAGGGGAGCUAACAUUCCAUGGGAUGACUCGAGAGGAGCCAAUGGAUAACUGUCCCCCUUCUUCCAGUGAGUUCUGAAGUACGUUUCAUAAAGCUUCACAGAAAGACUGAGUGGUGUUCACUCAGAGAGAUGUUAACACACUCCCAUAUUGACUCCCCCCUUUCUCUGUUUCAUUCCUCCUCCCCCUCACCCCUGCUCCCUGGGAUCAUGUUCCCAAAUAAACUACUCAUGCUUAAGCCUUUGUCUCAGGCCCCAUGUAAGAUCUGAUCUUACAUGGAGAAUUUAACAGCAACAACAUCACACCAGGGGCAUGCUCACCAGGGGCAGAGCAGGGGUUCACACCCCGGCAAGCUUCUCUACUCGCUUCCAUGUUGCCUCUCAAAGAUCCCAACCUCUAGAGGACAUUUAAAGGCACAGGCCUAGAUGGAAUCUAACCAUCUAACCGGGAGAGACUGUAAAUAAGAAAAAAGUCCCCACACCAUGCUCACAUUUAGAGAUCAAGAAGAGGAGGAGCCAGCGAAGGAGCCAGAGAAAGAGCUGCCAUCCGGGUAGGAGGAAGCCAGACCAGUGUGGAGUCCUGGACUCCAAAGAAAGACAGCGUUGCAAGGAGGAGCGAGUGCCCUACUGUGCAAACGCUGCUGAGAAAUUGAGGAGGUGAGACCAGGAGACAGACCUUUUGGAUGCGCCAGUAGGAGGUCACUGGUGACUUGGACAAGGGCAGUUUCAAUGGAGUGACAGAAACAAAAACUUGGCUGGUGUAGGCUAAGAGGGAAUGGAGGUGAAGAUUCGGAGAAGUAGCCAGCAGGGACAACCACUUCAAGGAGGGGUGCGUAAAAGGGAGGAGGAAGUGGAGCAGAAGCUGAAGAGGGUGUAGGGUCAAGGAAGAGUUUGUUUUGAAAGUGAGAGAGAUCAUAGCGCAGUUAUGUGCCGAAGGGAAUGGUCUGGCAGAGAGAAGGAGCUGGAUAGUGCAGGAGGGAGAAAGGUGAUUUCAGGCAGUCUUGAGUAAGUGAAGGGAUAUGGUGCACAAAAUGAAGGGAUUGGCCAGGGAUGCAAGAGGAGGCCAUCCCUCCAUCUGUCCAUCCAUCUAUCCAUCUGUCCAUCUGUCUGUCCAUCCAUCCGUCUGUCCGUCCGUCCGUCUGUCCACCCAUCCAUCCAUCCAUCCAUCUGUCCGUCUGUCCAUCUAUCCUUCCGUCCAUCCAUCCAUCCAUCCAUCUAUCCAUGCAUGCAUCCAUUGUGAGGAAGAAAGGUAGCAGCGGGCAUAGAUGCAGGCACCUUGGGAGAUCUGAUGGUGAGAGGCACGUACGUUCCAGCAGAUGACAUUUAGUUUCUCAGCAAAAUAAGAAGCAAGAUCUUUAACUAACAGCGAGAAACUAAGGGAAGGUGUUGAGGGUUGGAGAAGAUGUGAAACACUUAUCUGGAGAGUGGCGCAGUGAAUUUAGUAGAGAAAUAUAGUAAGAUUACUGGGCAAGCUGAGCGCCCACUUGAAGUUUGUGGUCAGAAGCGUCAAGUGCGGCUAUUCAGUAUGACUGUGAGUUUCCCCGGCAAUGCUCAGCUACUCAGUGCAGGUGCAGGGUGUUGGGUUUAAGCAGGGUGGAGGCUGUGUCAGGAGAUUCCAAAUGAAGGGAAAAGAGCAAGAAAGGAGAGGGCUUCCACAAAUGGGUGAUUCUUGUCAAGGCCUACAGAAUUGAGCUGGAGAAGGGGGUUGAAGGCAGUGAAAAAGGACAAGUUCAAAGGCAGGGAGUUCCCAAAGGGGACACAUCAUUGAAUGGAGGUAAUAGAGUAGAUAAGCUGAGAGCCGAGGAAGGGGUGGUCAGGGAGCAGGGGGUUCAGAAGUGCUGAGGCAAAACCCUGGCCAUGGGAGUGGGAGGCCCAGGCAGCAGAACGAGAGGUGGAGAGUGAGGAGGCCAAAGACCAAGAGUGGGAGGUGCUGGGUGGACAUCUACAUGGAUGACCUUCCUUGUCCACCAUCUCUUAAACAGCUCCCCAUC